rnacentral:rRNA from 1 species
AUGAUAAGAGAGACUUUGUUGCUAGGAAACAUGGUAAAAGAAAGGGAGCCAUGGGUUCAGAAACCCAUGCCUUUUCCUCCCAAACCAUUCAAGAAAAAGGAUGAUGAGGAUUUUGAGCGCUUUGCUAAAAUGAUUAGACCUAUCUUUUUGCGUAUGCGAUUGACUGAUAUGCUCAAAAUGAAUCCUUAUGCUAAGUACAUGAAAGAAAUUGUUACUAAUAAAAGAAAGAUACCGGAAGCUAAAAUUUCCACCAUGCUUGCUAAUUACACUUUUAAGGGUGGAAUACCUAAGAAACUAGGAGAU